UUAAGCGACUAAGCGUACACGGUGGAUGCCCUGGCAGUCAGAGGCGAUGAAGGACGUGCUAAUCUGCGAAAAGCGUCGGUAAGGUGAUAUGAACCGUUAUAACCGGCGAUGUCCGAAUGGGGAAACCCAGUGCAAUUCGUUGCACUAUCGUUAACUGAAUACAUAGGUUAACGAGGCGAACCGGGGGAACUGAAACAUCUAAGUACCCCGAGGAAAAGAAAUCAACCGAGAUUCCCCCAGUAGCGGCGAGCGAACGGGGAGCAGCCCAGAGUCUGAAUCAGCUUGUGUGUUAGUGGAACGGUCUGGAAAGUCCGACGGUACAGGGUGAUAGUCCCGUACACCAAAAUGCACAGGUUGUGAACUCGAAGAGUAGGGCGGGACACGUGGUAUCCUGUCUGAAUAUGGGGGGACCAUCCUCCAAGGCUAAAUACUCCUGACUGACCGAUAGUGAACCAGUACCGUGAGGGAAAGGCGAAAAGAACCCCGGCGAGGGGAGUGAAAAAGAACCUGAAACCGUGUACGUACAAGCAGUGGGAGCACCUUCGGGUGUGACUGCGUACCUUUUGUAUAAUGGGUCAGCGACUUAUAUUCUGUAGCAAGGUUAACCGUAUAGGGGAGCCGCAGGGAAACCGAGUCUUAACUGGGCGUUAAGUUGCAGGGUAUAGACCCGAAACCCGGUGAUCUAGCCAUGGGCAGGUUGAAGGUUGGGUAACACUAACUGGAGGACCGAACCGACUAAUGUUGAAAAAUUAGCGGAUGACUUGUGGCUGGGGGUGAAAGGCCAAUCAAACCGGGAGAUAGCUGGUUCUCCCCGAAAGCUAUUUAGGUAGCGCCUCGUGAAUUCAUCUUCGGGGGUAGAGCACUGUUUCGGCUAGGGGGUCAUCCCGACUUACCAACCCGAUGCAAACUACGAAUACCGAAGAAUGUUAUCACGGGAGACACACGGCGGGUGCUAACGUCCGUCGUGAAGAGGGAAACAACCCAGACCGCCAGCUAAGGUCCCAAAGUCAUGGUUAAGUGGGAAACGAUGUGGGAAGGCACAGACAGCCAGGAUGUUGGCUUAGAAGCAGCCAUCAUUUAAAGAAAGCGUAAUAGCUCACUGGUCGAGUCGGCCUGCGCGGAAGAUGUAACGGGGCUAAACCAUGCACCGAAGCUGCGGCAGCGACACUAUGUGUUGUUGGGUAGGGGAGCGUUCUGUAAGCCUGCGAAGGUGUGCUGUGAGGCAUGCUGGAGGUAUCAGAAGUGCGAAUGCUGACAUAAGUAACGAUAAAGCGGGUGAAAAGCCCGCUCGCCGGAAGACCAAGGGUUCCUGUCCAACGUUAAUCGGGGCAGGGUGAGUCGACCCCUAAGGCGAGGCCGAAAGGCGUAGUCGAUGGGAAACAGGUUAAUAUUCCUGUACUUGGUGUUACUGCGAAGGGGGGACGGAGAAGGCUAUGUUAGCCGGGCGACGGUUGUCCCGGUUUAAGCAUGUAGGCUGGUUGUCCAGGCAAAUCCGGAUAAUCAAGGCUGAGGUGUGAUGACGAGGCACUACGGUGCUGAAGUAACAAAUGCCCUGCUUCCAGGAAAAGCCUCUAAGCAUCAGGUAACAUCAAAUCGUACCCCAAACCGACACAGGUGGUCAGGUAGAGAAUACCAAGGCGCUUGAGAGAACUCGGGUGAAGGAACUAGGCAAAAUGGUGCCGUAACUUCGGGAGAAGGCACGCUGGUGUGUAGGUGAAGCCCCUGCGGGUGGAGCUGAGACCAGUCGAAGAUACCAGCUGGCUGCAACUGUUUAUUAAAAACACAGCACUGUGCAAACACGAAAGUGGACGUAUACGGUGUGACGCCUGCCCGGUGCCGGAAGGUUAAUUGAUGGGGUUAUCCGUAAGGAGAAGCUCUUGAUCGAAGCCCCGGUAAACGGCGGCCGUAACUAUAACGGUCCUAAGGUAGCGAAAUUCCUUGUCGGGUAAGUUCCGACCUGCACGAAUGGCGUAAUGAUGGCCAGGCUGUCUCCACCCGAGACUCAGUGAAAUUGAACUCGCUGUGAAGAUGCAGUGUACCCGCGGCAAGACGGAAAGACCCCGUGAACCUUUACUAUAGCUUGACACUGAACAUUGAGCCUUGAUGUGUAGGAUAGGUGGGAGGCUUUGAAGCGUGGACGCCAGUCUGCGUGGAGCCAACCUUGAAAUACCACCCUUUAAUGUUUGAUGUUCUAACGUUGGCCCCUGACCGGGGUUGCGGACAGUGUCUGGUGGGUAGUUUGACUGGGGCGGUCUCCUCCCAAAGCGUAACGGAGGAGCACGAAGGUUAGCUAAUCCUGGUCGGACAUCAGGAGGUUAGUGCAAUGGCAUAAGCUAGCUUGACUGCGAGCGUGACGGCGCGAGCAGGUGCGAAAGCAGGUCAUAGUGAUCCGGUGGUUCUGAAUGGAAGGGCCAUCGCUCAACGGAUAAAAGGUACUCCGGGGAUAACAGGCUGAUACCGCCCAAGAGUUCAUAUCGACGGCGGUGUUUGGCACCUCGAUGUCGGCUCAUCACAUCCUGGGGCUGAAGUAGGUCCCAAGGGUAUGGCUGUUCGCCAUUUAAAGUGGUACGCGAGCUGGGUUUAGAACGUCGUGAGACAGUUCGGUCCCUAUCUGCCGUGGGCGCUGGAGAAUUGAGGGGGGCUGCUCCUAGUACGAGAGGACCGGAGUGGACGCAUCACUGGUGUUCGGGUUGUCAUGCCAAUGGCACUGCCCGGUAGCUAAAUGCGGAAGAGAUAAGUGCUGAAAGCAUCUAAGCACGAAACUUGCCCCGAGAUGAGUUCUCCCUGAGACUUUAAGUCUCCUGAAGGAACGUUAAAGACGAUGACGUUGAUAGGCCGGGUGUGUAAGCGCAGCGAUGCGUUGAGCUAACCGGUACUAAUGAACCGUGAGGCUUAACCUU
rnacentral:rRNA from 2 species